rnacentral:rRNA from 1 species
UACGUAGGGGGCGAGCGUUGUCCGGAUUUAUUGGGCGUAAAGAGCUCGUAGGCGGCUCGUUGCGUCGGCUGUGAAAACCCGCAGCUCAACUGUGGGCUUGCAGCCGAUACGGGCGGGCUGGAGUUCGGUAGGGGAGACGUGGAAUUCCUGGUGUAGCGGUGAAAUGCGCAGAUAUCAGGAGGAACACCGGUGGCGAAGGCGGGUCUCUGGGCCGAUACUGACGCUGAGGAGCGAAAGCGUGGGGAGCGAA